rnacentral:rRNA from 1 species
UGUAGUCAUAUGCUUGUCUCAAAGAUUAAGCCAUGCAUGUCUAAGUAUAAGCAAUUAUACCGCGAAACUGCGAAUGGCUCAUUAAAUCAGUUAUCGUUUAUUUGAUAGUACCUUACUACUUGGAUAACCGUGGUAAUUCUAGAGCUAAUACAUGCUAAAAAUCCCGACUUCGGAAGGGAUGUAUUUAUUAGAUUAAAAACCAAUGCCCUUCGGGGCUCUCUGGUGAUUCAUAAUAACUUCUCGAAUCGCACGGCCUUGCGCCGGCGAUGGUUCAUUCAAAUUUCUGCCCUAUCAACUUUCGACGGCUGGGUCUUGGCCAGCCAUGGUGACAACGGGUAACGGAGGGUUAGGGCUCGACCCCGGAGAAGGAGCCUGAGAAACGGCUACUACAUCCAAGGAAGGCAGCAGGCGCGCAAAUUACCCAAUCCCGACUCGGGGAGGUAGUGACAAUAAAUACUGAUACAGGGCUCUUUUGGGUCUUGUAAUUGGAAUGAGUACAAUUUAAAUCCCUUAACGAGGAACAAUUGGAGGGCAAGUCUGGUAAUCG